ensembl:lncRNA
GUUGACAGUGAUAGCGGUGAUGAUGGUGUUGGUGUUGACAGUGAUAGCGGUGAUGAUGGUGAUGGUGUUGACAGUGAUAGUGGUGAUGGUGUUGACAGUGAUAGCGGUGAUGAUGGUGUUGGUGGUGACAGUGAUAGUGGUGAUGGUGUUGACAGUGAUAGCGGUGAUGAUGGUGAUGGUGUUGACAGUGAUAGUGGUGAUGGUGUUGACAGUGAUAGCGGUGAUGAUGGUGUUGGUGGUGACAGUGAUAGUGGUGAUGGUGUUGACAGUGAUAGCGGUGAUGAUGGUGUUGGUGUUGACAGUGAUAGCGGUGAUGAUGGUGUUGGUGGUGUUGACAGUGAUAGUGGUGAUGGUGUUGACAGUGAUAGCGGUGAUGAUGGUGUUGGUGUUGACAGUGAUAGCGGUGAUGAUAGUGUUGACAGUGAUAGUGUUGACAGUGAUAGCGGUGAUGAUAGUGUUGACAGUGAUAGCGGUGAUGAUAGUGUUGAUGAUGUCGGUGUUGAUGACAGACAGCGAUAGUGCUGAUGGUGUUGACAGUGAUAGCGGUGAUGAUGGUGUUGGUGUUGACAGUGAUAGUGGUGAUGGUGUUGACCGUGAUUGCGGUGAUGAUGGUGUUGGUAGUGCUGGCGGUGCUGAUAGUGAUGGCAGUGAUGAUGUUGACAGACAGUGAUAGCGGUGAUGAUAGUGUUGAUGGUGUUUGUGUCGAUAGUGCUGGCAGUGCUGAUCUUGGUGUUGAUAGUGCUGGCGGUGCUGCUAGUAUUGGUGAUAUUAAUACUGGCUAAUAGUUUCUAGUAUUGGAUGUUGCUAGGAAUUGGUGAUGUUGCUAGGAAUUGGCGAUAGUAUUGGCGAUGCUAGGAAUUGGCGAUGGUAUUGGCGAUGUUGCUAGGAAUUGGCGAUGUUGCUAGUAUUGGUAGCGUUAGUGAUGUUUGUAAUAUUAGAAAUGCCGCUCGUGUGUGGACAAUGUUCCUAGUGUUAGUGACCAUGUUAUUGUUGGCAAUGUGCCUAGUAUUGGGUGUUGCUAACAUCGGUGAUAUUGCUAGUGUUUGCGAAGUUGCUAAAACAAACAAACUGCAAAAGCUUGAAGAAAUUGGUCCACUUCUCGUUUAAAGACGCGUCUCCUGCGGAGCAGAAAUGGAAAACUCGAAAAGCCCUUACCCCAGUGUAACCAGACAGACCAGUGGAGCUCGACUGGCUUUUUUUUUUUUUUUUUUUUUUAAUAAACUGUGCCACUCAGGUCUUGUUGUGAUACAUUUGAGGUGGUCAAUGCAUGAACACAGCAGAAAAGAUUAGAAUGGAUUUUUAACUAAAACCGUUGAUGGGCUUUCGACCCUGGACUCUCACCUUCAUUUACUCUGCGCUAAUUUGAUACGCAAACACUGUUUACUGUUCAGGAAGAGCAUCUUUCUAGGCACAAAGCCGGUGAAGUGGAAGUGUGUGAGACGCAAACUAGUUACAAUGGCAAAAAGUUAGUGAGAGAAACACAUACAGACACAGAGGAGGGGGGAGAGAGAGAGAGUGAGAGAGAGAGAGGGGGGUUAGGUCUUACGAGCACAGGUUGGAAAGCUGUUAUUAAUCUGCUCCAUAAGGUCAGUCAUAUCAGAGGAGGAAGAAUGAUCCAGAAAGUCAUCUGAGAACACACACACACACACACGCACACACACACUAUAUGAAAGAGCUGUCAGGUCCACACACCAACAUUAUUGAACCGUGUUGCUCAUUUCCAGCACAAAAGGUUCUCAAAAGGUUCUGGUCUGAAAUGAAAAAGUGAUGUUCGGUUUUGGGAUGGUGCCAUUUUAUCGCCAUGGCAACAUUAGAAACUCAACCUAUCGUUGUUAAAAUAAGGAGGAAACAAUAUGUGUACAGAGGCGGAUGAGAAUUAUUGUAAAAGUUUGUUUUGUUUUGUUUUUUUUAAAUUCAGUGAAACCUUAGGAAAUCCAAUUUCAUAAUGGUUAAGAUCUCAAAGCGGUGGAAAUGUGGGACGUUUUCUUUUUUUCUUAAAACCAUCACAUGUUGGAAGGAAAGCAGGAGCAGCACCAUGUUGAUGGGAAGAAGAAGAAGAAGAAAAAAAAAAUCUUGCACUCAACCAAACAGACGUAAACAGAUCAAGUGUAGAGUGGGAGAUGCAUUCUGAGGAAC